AGAGGAAGCAGGAGGAGGAGAUGGUGGAGAGUUGAUGGCGGAUGGCGAAGGAGAUGGAGAAUUCUUCACAGGUGCGGGAGGAGAUGCAGCCGGUGAGUGAGCGGAGGGAGAGAUCGCAGGAGAUUUGGACGGAGAUGACGAUGGUGAUUGAGCGAAGGUGGAACUCACCAACAAUGCAGCCACAAGCAUCAACACAACUUUGUAGGAAGCCAUAGUAAAAAUUUGAAGAAUGAAAAUGAAAAAUUAGGGUUUAUGAAAAAAAAAAGCAGUAAAAAGAUGAGGAAUUAGGCGAGUUGUUGUUUGUAACUGUUGUGAAGAAAGAGAUAGGGUUGGGAGGGUACUUAUAGAAUUGUUACCGCGUGAUGACGCGUUUCUAGACUGAGUCCUUCUGUGCCGUUGAUCUUUUUCAAUCAAUAUCUUUUUCUCAAAUAAGGUGUAUUUAGGAAAAUCAUAAUCAUCGACCUAUUUUGUAAAGAGAAAAAAAUAUUCACAAGAAAAAAUAUUGGUUGGUCUAUUAAAGUUUUUCUUUUAGGGAAAUAAAUUAUAAGUAAAUGGUCUCUAUUUUGUAUUAUAUUUCUAAGUGUGUGAGGGAUAUUCGAGUUUUUCUAUUUACACCCCAUGUUUUUCUGGUUACACCUAAAUUUUCUUAAAAUUUUUUUAUAAUACCAAAAUUGUCCUUUUAUAUAAAUUUUCUUAAAACCCUAAUUUUAUUCAUUGUCAGUGAGUUUUACCCUCUUUCACCCCCACAAAGCGAUCGAUCAAACAAUUUGAUGUUCAAUAUCAAUCUCUAUGAAAAUUAAAGAGUGAAUCAAAAUUUUUUUCAUCCAUACUCAAUUGGAUAUAAGUAAGUGAAUUUCUUCUUCUAUUUGCUAGUUUCAAUUUUUUUUCCUUCAACUGCACUGAUGCACUGUACGAUUACGGUUUUAAUUUACAUUGACAAGGUUAACUUAAAUUCAGUUUAAGUAGGUUCAUGUAAACAUGAACCUACUUAAACUGAGUUUACAUGAACCUACUUAAAUUGAGUUAACAUGAACCUACUUAAACUGAGUUUACAUGAACAUACUUAAACUGAGUUUACAUGAACAUACUUAAACUGAGUUUACAUGAACCUACUUAAACUAAGUUUACAAAAUCGCAGAACUGUGAAUCGCAGAACAAGGAAAACACAAAAUCAGAACUGAGAACCCAUAACAAGAAAAACACAAUCGAUUGAAGAACAACACUUGCUAACCUGAUUUGCUUCGAAUUUUCUUUGAAAUCAUGAAUGGACGUGAGAAAGUAUGGUUUUGAAAAUCUUCGCAGAACACAAUCGAUCGAUUGGAGAAUUAUGGUUUUGGAAGAAGGGUUUUGGGGUGUAACCAAAAAAGAAGGAAUAGGCUUUUUGAAAAUCAAAUUUUAUGAAAGGAUAAUCUUGUCAUUUUGGGGUGCAACCAUAAUUAACUAAGGUGCAAGUAGAAAAACUCGUGAUAUUCCGAGAAUUCACUAGGGUCAUAAUAAUAGAUCUUAAUACUAGAUAAUAGGUUUGUUUCUCUUUUACUUUCGUUUGGGUACAUAUUAUUUAUUUCUAUUUAACUUUCAUUUUGAUACUUUAAGGGUGUAAUUUGUCAAUCUUUUAUAAUUACUCAUAUUUAAUCAUUUUCAAUAAAACUAAUUAAUAUUGUAUAUUUGGAAAAUUCAAAUUUUUUUAACCAAAGUUUAUUUUUUGUUAUGUAUAAAUUUAAACUUCCAUGAAAUAUAAUUUUGUCACCUAUAAUAAUGGUUUUAUGAAGAGUGACUAACAAUUAGAAAAAUAUAGCAUAAUCAAGUUUAUUGAAAUGAGAGUGUGCACAAAAAAAAAAAUGUAAUUUCUUUGGUGGGUUAAAAUGAGAUAUAAUAAGAAAAAUAAAAAAAACUAAAAGAAUCCACUAAUUUGAUUUGCAUGUAUUAUUUUGAAAUGACACUUUUUUUGAACAAGCAAGAAAUGGCACUUGAAAAAACGGAUAGAGUAAUAUUUUUUUUUAAGGAGGAUAGAGUAAUAUUUUUGUGUCAAUAUCACUAACUGAAUCAAAUUUUUGUUGACAUUUUUUUGGUUAACAUAUAAUUUUAAAUUGGCAUCAAAUCACAUUAAACUCUAAAAAAAAAAUUAAAUUAAAUAAAAUAGGAAAAAAUAAAAGAAGAAUAAAAGGAAAUUAAAAGUAGUAAGGUUGAGUUGGCGUGAAGAGGCAGCACGCUGGCCGCUGGGAGAGGGAAUGAAUGUGCAAACCCAACCUGGUAAAGUUGUCCUUGAAUAUUUCCCAAAAAAAUAACUUGUCUUUGAAUAAUAGAGGAGAGAUGGAUUUUAUUUUAUUUUUUUGACAAAGUGUUUUUAGAGGUUGUUGACGAAAUUAUGGAUAGUUGUGAUUCUGAUUGUGUUUUUUUAAACAUCAGCUAUUUGGUAUAAGAGAUGCUAAUUUAGGGAUCAUUUCAAACAACAACUAGUGAUGUUAAAUUGAAGUUCCUGUAAUUUUGUGGGGACUGAUCCAGGUGGACCACUAAUCCAACACAAGAAUUGUUAGCAACUAAAAAUUCGAACAUUAGACUUAAAUAAAAUUAUAAUUUAAGGUUUCAAGCCUUAACGAUUAUAAGAGGUGAAAAUAUAUACUAAAAUAAGUUAAGAAAAUGCUAACAAGUAUUCUACAGACAUUUGAUAAGAAAUCCAAAAAAAAUAUUAUCUUAGAAAUAGUGCAUUAAUACUUCUAAACUCUGGAAAUUUUUAUUUUUUAGUUGAAUUCUUAAAAUUUAAGUGUGACUUGUAAAAGAAGAAAAAGAGAUACAAAACUCUCAAGAAAAAGGUCCCCAAAUCAUCAACAUGAAGCAAGUCAACAAGUCCACACAGAAAAGCAAGGACAAAGAUGUUGAAUUGGUCAUAAGCACUAAGCUUAGGCAUUAAAUCAUCAUAAUGAUUGCCUUAUCGUAGCGUGUAGAAGACUCUGAAAAGCGAAUUUUGGUGAAGCAAAUUCUUAAUGUCUUGAAUAAGCACAACAUACUUAUGGAACUUGUUGCUGGGAGUUCCAAGUUGACAUAUUUGUCAACCGACGAACCAUCAAGUAAGGAAGGAUUAUAAAAGCAUAAUAUUUAUUGCACAUCCGUUGUAGUCUAGUUGGUCAGGAUACUCGGCUCUCACCCGAGAGACCCGGGUUCAAGUCCCGGCAACGGAAUGUUUUUUGUUUCAUUAAUUUUUUUCCUGUUCUCUUUCGUAUAUAUUUUUUUUUUUGAAGAGGUUCUCUUUCAUAUUUAUUUAUGACGCGUAGUGUAGCACAGUGGCGGAGCCAGAAAUUACAUAGAGCCUGGGCGAAAAAUUUAUCGCAAAUUCACAUGUGACAUAAUAUAUAUAUAUAUAAAUUCCUUCCUUAAAAAAAAAGGAUAAAUAGUCAUAUAUAAAAAUAAAAAAGGAUCGUCAUAUUAAGUUGUUUGAAGGAUUUAUCGGCACUGGCGGAUCUUGAGUUAUUUUCUCGGGGUACCAAAAUUCUAUGAAAUAUAUAUUAAGCUGUUUGAAAUAUUAAUCAAAAAUGUUAACUGCUGUAGUGGUUUAAUUUACAUGAGUAUGGCCCAAAGGUGUGUGUUCGAUUCUCUCCAUGGAACUUUUUUGACAAAAAAGUAAAUAUAUACAUAAAUAUAAAAAAGGGAGAAGAAGGAAGAAUCAAACCCGCAACAUCUAAGAGAAAUAGCAACUACUUUUCCACUGCGCUAGCUGGAAAAUAUGUAAAUAAAAUGUCUGAUAUAAUAUAUAUAGAAACAUUACGGUACCAUGGGUUCUAAGGAAGAUCCGCCAUUAAUUAUCGAUCGAGCCCGGGGUCGCCGGGCGGUGAAACCGCUCCUGGUGUAGCAUCAUUCUCGUCACUGUCUUGGUCUUUGGAUAGACAACAAUGUCAUCUGUGUCGAAAACUAUACCAACCUCUUCACCUUAUCACACUCAUAAAACCACUUCAAAUUACACAAAAAAAAAAUCUUAUAACCGCUUCAUCUUCUUCAAACAACCUCGUAGAACAUGUCUUCUACAUUCCACUGUCUGUGUCUCUCCAUCUUUCACCAACACCACUCACAGCGUAACCCAAAACCAAAAUGCAAAAAUUAACAAAUUCUGUGAAAUGGGUGAUCUUAGAAAUGCUAUUGAAUUACUCACAAAGUCAAAAGGCUAUGAACUUGGGUUGAAUAGUUACUGUUCCGUUUUGCAGCUUUGUGCUGAGAAGAAAUCUUUGGAAGAUGGAAAAAGGGUUCAUUCUGUUAUUAUUUGCUAAUGGAAUUUCAAUUGAUGAGGCUUUAGGAGCUAAACUAGUGUUUAUGUAUGUGAAUUGCGGUGAUUUGGUUCAAGGGAAAAAAAUAUUUGAUGAGAUUAUGAAUGAUAAGGUUUUUCUUUGGAAUCUUUUGAUGUCUGAAUAUGCAAAGAUUGGUAAUUUUAGAGAAAGUGUGAGUCUUUUUAAGAAAAUGCAGAAGUUGGGAAUUGUUGGGAAUUGUUAUACAUUUACUUGUGUUUAGAAGUGUUUUGCUGCAUUGGGAAAAGUAAAGGAGUGUAAAAGGGUUCAUGGGUAUGUUUUGAAAUUAGGAUUUGGGUCUAAUACUGCUGUUGUUAACUCUUUGAUUGCUGCUUAUUUCAAAUUUGGUGGAGUUGAGAGUGCACAUAGAAUAAUAAUUGAAUGAAUGAAUUGUCGUCACACGGACCGAAACAGAGCAACAACAAAAAUGAGGUAAAGAGUUAACGAUCCAUGUAAAUUCCUGAUUAAGAAAACAAAAAAAACUCUUCGUAAUUUCUCUACAUCAUCAAAGCUGCAGCAAAAACAACAGCAGCAGCAGAUACGGCAAAGGUGAAUCUGUUCAAUGCGGCGAUGGAGUUAUCAGAAGGUGAAGGUGCUUCAGAAGGAGGAGUAGAGAUGGAUGAUGGAGUAACAGCAGGAGCGAGAGAGUUA
rnacentral:lncRNA from 1 species